AACGAACGCUGGCGGCAGGCCUAACACAUGCAAGUCGAACGCCCUGGCAACAGGGAGUGGCAGACGGGUGAGUAACGCGUGGGAACGUGCCCUUCGGUUCGGAAUAACUCAGGGAAACUUGAGCUAAUACCGGAUACGUGCGAGAGCAGAAAGAUUUAUCGCCGAAGGAUCGGCCCGCGUCCGAUUAGCUAGUUAGUGAGGUAACGGCUCACCAAGGCGACGAUCGGUAGCUGGUCUGAGAGGAUGAUCAGCCACACUGGGACUGAGACAUGGCCCAGACUCCUACGGGAGGCAGCAGUGGGGAAUAUUGGACAAUGGGCGCAAGCCUGAUCCAGCCAUGCCGCGUGAGUGAUGAAGGCCCUAGGGUUGUAAAGCUCUUUCGCCAGGGACGAUAAUGACGGUACCUGGAUAAGAAGCCCCGGCUAACUUCGUGCCAGCCGCCGCGGUAA
rnacentral:rRNA from 1 species